GAUCAUGGCUCAGGAUGAACGCUGGCGGCGUGCUUAACACAUGCAAGUCGAACGGAGUUUACAUGAAACCUAGUGAUUGUAAACUUAGUGGCGGACGGGUGAGUAACGCGUGGGUAACCUGCCUUGUACUGGGGGACAACAGUUGGAAACGACUGCUAAUACCGCAUAAGCGCACAGCUUCGCAUGAAGCAGUGUGAAAAACUGGNGGUGUACAGAUCGGACCCGCGUCUGAUAGCUUAGG
rnacentral:rRNA from 1 species